UCUUCAUCAGUUUACUUGACCUUAUCCCCUCAACCAAAUCGAAGAGAACCAUUUUCUCUUUUUCUUCUUCUCUCUUCUUCUUGCUUCUUUCCGUCCGUACUUUCUUCUUCUUCUCUUCUCUAUUUGAUUCGGAACCAGAGUUGUAUGUUCAGUUGUGAGUGAUUCAUCAGAAGCUUGGUCAAGUAUUGAGUUGGCGAAGGUGGUGGUGUUUAUGAAAGCCGAUUAAUUCCUGGAAGAAGAUGAAAAGGGGAUAAGUGAAAUUAGGGUUGUGACUUUGGUUGUUCUUCUGAGGAUGAAGAUAAGAUAUAGAGUUGUGAUUAGAUAAUGAACCACGGGUUAAUUAGAAGAAGUAAUUGAAGUUUUAGAAGAUAGGUUAUAGAUGGGUUUGUCGUGAAUUAAGUUUAGGCUGAAGAAUUAAUUGAGAUUAUAAGUUACGGUUCGGUAUUUGAUAAAUUGAAGUUCUUUUGAAAUUACAAAUCGAUGGAUUGUGGAUGAUGAAGAACUAGGUUUUGUCUGAGUUGCAGUUCGAAGAAAUAAACUGGAUGACUAGAUAAGUUUGUUUAAAUUGAGGUUUAUAAUUUGGUGAUUAGUGGAUUCGAUUUUCAUGAAUUAUGGUUUCUGAGCUUGGGUUCUCUUUUGAGUUGCAAUAGUUGAAGAUUAAGAGGGUUGUUGAUGAUUGUGGAAGCAGCAGAUGGGUAUUUGGUGUUGAUUGGGAUUGAACUGAAGUAGCAGAGGAGAUGGUUAGUCUUAAGGAGUUGGUCUUGUAUCUGAGGCAAUUGUUCUCCUUAGUUAAUUUAGUAAGUUAUUAUUUUCCAUCGUUAGUGUAUGUGAUUGUACAUGAGAGUGAAAUGGAUAUGUGUAUUGGUGAUGGUUCUAUAAUUGUUGUCUUACUUCUGAAUUGAAGUAUGGUCCUGUGGAUGUUGAUAAUUCCAGGAUGUUUACAUUAUGAAUGAAGUGAGUUAAGGAAGGUGUUGAUAUUAUUGUCGUUGUGGUUGAGUAAUGGUGGUGUAGAUGAAUAAACUGCAGAUGUUGGGUUUUGGUUGUGCUAAUUGUUGCAGGACAGGAAUGAGGUCUUGAAAAUAGAUGAAAUUGUUGCAUAUGGUGGUGGCAAUGAAUCAGCACUUAGUCGAGAAGGUAGUGACGCUGGAGUAGAGAGUGUAGCCGUAACUGUAAAGCUGGGUUUGUGAAUGAAUCACAAGAUAUGGGAUUGGAUAACUAUGGAUGUUUGAAUUGAGGUUGAAGUUAUGAUGCAGUUUGUAUUGUGUUGAGAUGAUAAAGAUUCAGUUCGAGUAUGCAGGGUUACCUAUAUUAGCGUUUAUAUGGAUGAGUUAAGGGAUGAACUGUUGCAAGUAAAAUGGAUGGCAGAGCUGAGAUAGUGGUGUUGCUCAGACUCUUGUGAUAAUGGUGUUGGAACAGAAAUAGAGUCGAGGUAUGGGAGUCUGAAUUUGUGUUGUUGGUUACUGUUAUCGUUGAUUGCUAUUGAGUUUGAGUUUGACUGUGUGUUGUUUGAGUUUCCUUACAACUGGUAAUGAAGAGAAGUUGAAUGAGAAGAAGUUAUGGCUUAGCACUGCAUUUGCAGUUAGUCUAUUAACAACGAUCGAUUCAAAGGACGAACCAGUGGAUCGUGGAUCUCGAGGGCGUGGCUUGGCAUCAAAAGAGUUUCAGAGACAGAUCAGAGUUGCGCGGCGAAAGCUUCGUUAGUUAGUUAACUCUUAUUGUGUUUAUUAUAUUGUAUAUUGUAUCUGUAAAUCAAAUGACUAUUGUAUAUGUAUCACUCGAGAGGAGUUCUUGUAUAUAUAUUUCUGAGCGAGGCUAGUUUGGGUUAAGUUUUUAUA